AAACUUCUGAUUAACAGCAAUCAGUACACCACCGCCGCUGGUUUUAUCAGAAUUCGAUGAGGAUCUAUCGCAACGAAAGCAUAAACAUCGAAAUCACGCUCCAGUGCGGACAUGAAGACAGCUUCGAGCCGGCUACUGCUUCGGAUACUAUUCAUAUUCUGAUGAAUCACGCAAGCAACAGUUAUACACUUCUGGACAAGUGGAAUCAUUAAGUAACGGUGAAAAACGAGGCGAAGCAGAAUAUCGGGGAUUACUCGUUUGGCUGGCUUGGCGGGGGAAUAGGAAAUAAUUUCGGCUGAAUCCCGCGAGUGAAUUCAAACUCACGGAAAUAAAUACCCUUCUGCCAAGAUGAGGCAGACAUAGCUUUUUCUUUAUAUUCCGAUCCAAUUCCAACCUUG